CAAAAUUUUUCUUUAUGUUCUGUCAUAAACUUCUCUUCUGUUCUGCAUUGCUGAAUACUUACCUCCAGAUCCAGGUUGCAUUUCAAUGGAAUUUGCUUUAGGUUUCAAAUUCCCUUUAUGGAGAGAGAAACUGCAGUCCUGUUCCUGCGGCUUUUGAGUAUCCAAACACCUCUCUACUUGCUUUUUGGUCAUUGGUUGUGCUCCUCGGAGGCCAUUUCAUCAUGUUGUAAGGGGCAGCACAGGAGACUGCAGUACAGAUGUCUGCCUAACAGCUGGUUGCCAUGUCCUACAAACACUUUUCCUGCUGAAAGCAUGUUGGAAGGCAUUUUAAGGGCAGUGCCAGUUAAGGAGAGUCAGCCUAACAGGCAGCAUGAAAAGAUUGUUGGAGGCCUGAAUGCAGAAUAAUUCCCAAAGGAUCUUUUUCUAUUUCACAUGACAGUAUUCUUCAGAAUGUCAUCAUGCUUUACUCCAAAC